rnacentral:rRNA from 1 species
UGGGUAACCUGCCUCAUACACAUGGAUAACAUACCGAAAGGUAUGCUAAUACAAGAUGAUAUAAGAGAUUCGCAUGGAUUUCUUAUCAAAGCUCCGGCGGUAUGAGAUGGACCCGCGUCUGAUUAGCUAGUUGGUAAGGUAACGGCUUACCAAGGCGACGAUCAGUAGCCGACCUGAGAGGGUGAUCCGGCCACAUUGGAACUGAGACACGGUCCAAACUCUACGGGAG